CAGAAAAUAGUUUUAAAUAAAAUAUUAAUUUUGGGGAUUAGAGAUAUAUAUAAAUUUAUAUUUUUCUGA
rnacentral:tRNA from 1 species